rnacentral:rRNA from 1 species
CUGCAUGGAGCCGGCCUUGAAAUACCACCCUUUAAUGUUUGAUGUUCUAACGUGGACCCGUGAUCCGGGUUGCGGACAGUGUCUGGUGGGUAGUUUGACUGGGGCGGUCUCCUCCUAAAGAGUAACGGAGGAGCACGAAGGUUGGCUAAUCCUGGUCGGACAUCAGGAGGUUAGUGCAAUGGCAUAAGCCAGCUUGACUGCGAGCGUGACGGCGCGAGCAGGUGCGAAAGCAGGUCAUAGUGAUCCGGUGGUUCUGAAUGGAAGGGCCAUCGCUCAACGGAUAAAAGGUACUCCGGGGAUAACAGGCUGAUACCGCCCAAGAGUUCAUAUCGACGGCGGUGUUUGGCACCUCGAUGUCGGCUCAUCACAUCCUGGGGCUGAAGUAGGUCCCAAGGGUAUGGCUGUUCGCCAUUUAAAGUGGUACGCGAGCUGGGUUUAGAACGUCGUGAGACAGUUCGGUCCCUAUCUGCCGUGGGCGCUGGAGAACUGAGGGGGGCUGCUCCUAGUACGAGAGGACCGGAGUGGACGCAUCACUGGUGUUCGGGUUGUCAUGCCAAUGGCACUGCCCGGUAGCUAAAUGCGGAAGAGAUAAGUGCUGAAAGCAUCUAAGCACGAAACUUGCCCCGAGAUGAGUUCUCCCUGAGACUUAGAGUCUCCUGAAGGAACGUUGAAGACGACGACGUUGAUAGGCCGGGUGUGUAAGCGCAGCGAUGCGUUGAGCUAACCGGUACUAAUGAACCGUGAGGCUUAACCUUACAACGCCGAAG